UGAGUAUUUACUGAUAUAAAUAUUUAUAAAAAUAUGAUUAAUUUUUUUAGAAAUACCUUUAAUAUAAUAGGAAAUUUAUUAAAGGUAUUGAUUUAGUUGAACUAAAUAGUAAUUUUUUCGUAGAUUUGGCAGUAAAUCUAGGCUCUCGUUCAUUUUUUAACAAUCAG